rnacentral:rRNA from 1 species
AACGAACGCUGGCGGCAGGCCUAACACAUGCAAGUCGAACGAAACCUUCGGGUCUAGUGGCGGACGGGUGCGUAACGCGUGGGAACGUGCCCUUAGGUUCGGAAUAACUCCUCGAAAGAGGUGCUAAUACCGAAUAUUGUCUUCGGAGGAAAGAUUUAUCGCCCUUGGAGGGGCCCGCGUCGGAUUAGCUAGUUGGUAUGGUAAAAGCCCACCAAGGCGACGAUCCAUAGCUGGUCUGAGAGGAUGAUCAGCCACACUGGGACUGAGACACGGCCCAGACUCCUACGGGAGGCAGCAGUGGGGAAUAUUGGACAAUGGGGGAAAGCCUGAUGCAGCAAUGACGCGUGAGUGAUGAAGGUCUUAGGGUUGUAAAGCUCUUUUACCGGGGAUGAUAAUGACAUUACCCGGAGAAUAAGCACCGGCUAACUCCGUG